rnacentral:misc_RNA from 1 species
AAGGAAACUACAUAUGUAUUUGUGGUUAAAUGAACAUCUCAAAAGGAUGGCUCAAUUGACAGGGUUGCCAAGAUUAAAACAAAUAAAAAGCAGAGGAAGAAGGUAAUUCACCAUCAAAGAAGCUUCAAGCAAAGAACCUGAUCCCUUCAAUGCAUAUUUCAAAUAACAAUCUGCCCUUUUCUAUUUGAUCCCCUGGAUCUUCUUCUAUCAAUCUCUUAAUUUCUUAUGUCCCCAGAAUUUUGUCAAAAUGAUUGUAUCUUCCAAUGGGGCCUUUUCGAACAGAAUUCCAAUUUUCUGAUGUCAACCUUUUCCCUCCUUGUUCAUUUGUUACCAAUUAUCAUCAUAUCAAUUCACAAAUCCAAU